rnacentral:rRNA from 1 species
UAGAGUUUGAUCAUGGCUCAGAACGAACGCUGGCGGCAGGCCUAACACAUGCAAGUCGAGCGCGCCUUCGGGUGAGCGGCGGACGGGUUAGUAACGCGUGGGAACGUGCCCUUUUCUACGGAAUAGCCUCUGGAAACGGAGAGUAAUACCGUAUACGCCCUUUGGGGGAAAGAUUUAUCGGAGAAGGAUCGGCCCGCGUUAGAUUAGGUAGUUGGUGGGGUAACGGCCUACCAAGCCUACGAUCUAUAGCUGGUUUUAGAGGAUGAUCAGCAACACUGGGACUGAGACACGGCCCAGACUCCUACGGGAGGCAGCAGUGGGGAAUCUUAGACAAUGGGGGCAACCCUGAUCUAGCCAUGCCGCGUGAGUGAUGAAGGCCUUAGGGUCGUAAAGCUCUUUCGCCUGUGAUGAUAAUGACAGUAGCAGGUAAAGAAACCCCGGCUAACUCCGUGCCAGCAGCCGCGGUAAUACGGAGGGGGUUAGCGUUGUUCGGAAUUACUGGGCGUAAAGCGCGCGUAGGCGGAUUAGAAAGUUGGGGGUGAAAUCCCGGGGCUCAACCUCGGAACUGCCUCCAAAACUGCUAGUCUAGAGUUCGAGAGAGGUGAGUGGAAUUCCGAGUGUAGAGGUGAAAUUCGUAGAUAUUCGGAGGAACACCAGUGGCGAAGCGGCUCACUGGCUCGAUACUGACGCUGA